rnacentral:rRNA from 1 species
CGGGGUGAGUAAUGUAUGGGGAUCUGCCUGAUGGCGGGGGAUAACUACUGGAAACGGUAGCUAAUACCGCAUAAUGUCUGCGGACCAAAGCGGGGGACCUCCGGGCCUCGCGCCAUCAGAUGAACCCAUAUGGGAUUAGCUAGUAGGUGGGGUAACGGCUCACCUAGGCGACGAUCCCUAGCUGGUCUGAGAGGAUGACCAGCCACACUGGAACUGAGACACGGUCCAG